rnacentral:rRNA from 1 species
GGCGUAAAAGCGCACGCAAGGGCGGGGUCUGUCAAGUCGGAUGUGAAAAUCCCCGGGCUCAACCUGGGGAACUGCAUCCGAAACUGGCAGGCUAGAGUCUUGUAGAGGGGGGUAGAAUUCCAGGUGUAGCGGUGAAAUGCGUAGAGAUCUGGAGGAAUACCGGUGGCGAAGGCGGCCCCCUGGACAAGACUGACGCUCAGGUGCGAAAGCGUGGGAGCGACAGGAUUAGAUACCCUGGUAGCCACGCCGUAACGAUGACAAAAAUGAAGGAUGUGACAUUGAAGCGUGAAUUACGGAGCUAACGCGAUAAUUCGACCGACUGAAGAGAAAGGCCGAAAGAAUAAAACGCAAAUGAAUUGACGGGGGCCCACACAA